rnacentral:sRNA from 1 species
AGCAGCCGCGGUAAUUCCAGCUCCAAUAGCGUAUAUUAAAGUUGUUGCAGUUAAAAAGCUCGUAGUUGAAUUUCGGGGUCAGUAGGUCGGUCGUGCCACAGGUAUGCGCUGGUCUCACUGAUUCCUCCUUCCUGAUGAACCGUAAUGCCAUUAAUUUGGUGUUGCGGGGAGACUGGACUGUUACUUUGAAAAAUUAGAGUGUUUAAAGCAGGCUAACGCUUGAAUACAUUAGCAUGGAAUAACGGAAUAGGACGUUCGAUCUUAUUUUGUUGGUUUCUAAGAUCGACGUAAUGAUUAAUAGGGAUAGUUGGGGGCAUUAGUAUUCAAUUGUCAGAGGUGAAAUUCUUGGAUUUAUUGAAGACUAACUACUGCGAAAGCAUUUGCCAAGGAUGU